CGGGCGKCCUAUAAUGCAGUCGAGCGAAUGGAUUGAGAGCUUGCUCUMAGGAAGUUAGCGGCGGACGGGUGAGUAACACGUGGGUAACCUGCCCAUAAGACUGGGAUAACUCCGGGAAACCGGGGCUAAUACCGGAUAACAUUUUGAACUGCAUGGUUCGAAAUUGAAAGGCGGCUUCGGCUGUCACUUAUGGAUGGACCCGCGUCGCAUUAGCUAGUUGGUGAGGUAACGGCUCACCAAGGCAACGAUGCGUAGCCGACCUGAGAGGGUGAUCGGCCACACUGGGACUGAGACACGGCCCAGACUCCUACGGGAGGCAGCAGUAGGGAAUCUUCCGCAAUGGACGAAAGUCUGACGGAGCAACGCCGCGUGAGUGAUGAAGGCUUUCGGGUCGUAAAACUCUGUUGUUAGGGAAGAACAAGUGCUAGUUGAAUAAGCUGGCACCUUGACGGUACCUAACCAGAAAGCCACGGCUAACUACGUGCCAGCAGCCGCGGUAAUACGUAGGUGGCAAGCGUUAUCCGGAAUUAUUGGGCGUAAAGCGCGCGCAGGUGGUUUCUUAAGUCUGAUGUGAAAGCCCACGGCUCAACCGUGGAGGGUCAUUGGAAACUGGGAGACUUGAGUGCAGAAGAGGAAAGUGGAAUUCCAUGUGUAGC
rnacentral:rRNA from 1 species